CAGCCACACCAGAUCCGAGCCGUGUCUAUGACCUACACCACGGCUCGGGGAACGCUGGAUCCCCAACCCACUGGCCGAGGCCAGGGAUCAAACCCACAUCCUCACAGAUACCAGGCAGAUUUGUCUCCGCUGCGCGAGAACAAGAACUCCCAUGAUUUCGCCAUUUUAGUGCUUCCUCAUGCCUUCCUGAAUUCUCCUGUGUCCUACAAUGACCCAGGGUGUCCUUCUGGAAAGGGGCUUCCUGCGUCCUUCCCCUGCACCCCGGGGCCCACAGAGGGACCCCGCCCCUGGCCCAGAGCCCUGGAGUUCCCAGCUUAGAGGUCCCGCAGAGCCAUGAGCAUCUGUCCCCUGUCACACCCUUCCACAAACCCAACCACGAGGACCUAGACUCAGGUAUCUCCAACCCACUCCCAACAAAAGAACACAGACUCCAGGCGCCUGGGAGCCACGGGAGCUCUCUGCCAGGACCAGAUGGCCGGGCACUCGUCCCAGUGGACAAACGGACAGGCGCCACGGUGACCCGGAUUCAGCCCCGCGGGGAGGCAGCUGCUGAGGCCGCCCGGGGCUGAGCCUCCGGGUGCGGGGGCAAAGAAACGCGGGGCUCCCCUCCUCAGAAAAGGCAGCCGCACGCAUCUGGUGCAUCUUCAGGGACCCGUGACCAUCCCUGGAACCUGAUCAUGAACUUGAACGAAUGAAACCUCAUCCCUGGAGGA